rnacentral:sRNA from 1 species
UCUUAUAGUUUAAUCAUAAAAAAGACCCAACAAAUUAAAAACGAAUCACAAUUGAAUCUAGUGAACCUAUCUAAAGGCAAACUCAUCAAAAAAACAUAAAAGAGACAAGGAUCAGAAUAUUGGCUUGAUUUCCUCUGUUGAGAAGGAAAUAAAAUUCGCUUAGUAUAAUCUGAUUCGAUCAUUUGGGGAAAUUGUCAUCACCUCCAUAUCUCUUUUCAAAAAAACCACGA